rnacentral:rRNA from 1 species
AUACGGAGGAUGCGAGCGUUAUCCGGAUUUAUUGGGUUUAAAGGGUGCGUAGGUGGUAGAUUAAGUCAGCGGUUAAAGUUUGUCGCUCAACGAUAAAAUUGCCGUUGAUACUGGUUUACUUGAGUAUAGUUGAAGUAGGCGGAAUGCGUGGUGUAGCGGUGAAAUGCAUAGAUAUCACGCAGAACUCCGAUUGCGAAGGCAGCUUACUAAGUUAUAACUGACACUGAAGCACGAAAGCGUGGGUAUCAAACAGGAUUAGAUACCCUGGUAGUCCACGCAGUAAACGAUGAUUACUCGCUGUUUGCGAUACACAGCAAGCGGCUUAGCGAAAGCGUUAAGUAAUCCACCUGGGGAGUACGUUCGCAAGAAUGAAACUCAAAGGAAUUGACGGGG